rnacentral:rRNA from 1 species
UACGUAGGGUGCAAGCGUUGUCCGGAAUUAUUGGGCGUAAAGAGCUCGUAGGCGGUCUGUCGCGUCUGCUGUGAAAACCUAGGGCUUAACUCUGGGCGUGCAGUGGGUACGGGCAGGCUAGAGUGCGGUAGGGGGAGACUGGAAUUCCUGGUGUAGCGGUGAAAUGCGCAGAUAUCAGGAGGAACACCGGUGGCGAAGGCGGG